GGCGCCAUAGCCAAGUGGCUAAGGCAGGGGCCUGCAAAGCCCUGAUCCCCGGUUCGAAUCCGGGUGGCGCCUCCA
rnacentral:tRNA from 6 species